GGGCUUCCUACUUUAACCAUAGUCAAGUUCAAGAAUGUCAUGUCAUCCGUUCCAUUGCACGAUGCUGAGUUUCUCCUCUUACAACCUACCUUGUCUCCCAUGUCAUCAUUGUAGAAUCCAGGGGGGUGCAGUAGGAAAAGUGAUGUGUGUGGUGAGGAUGCUUUAAGAGUGCCAUUGUUCUGAGAUUGAAAGGGAUGAAAGUUGGGAACCCUGAUGAUCAAUUUAAUGCUGAGAAUGAUCUUGAAGAAGAGUAUGAGGGUGGUUGUGAUGUGCAUAUUAGAGUGACAUUUUCUGAUAUAGAAUCCAGUGAUCAAAGUUCAAAUGACUAACUUCUGCUUCCUAAUCAUUCAUCUCCAUUUCAUCUUACUGGAAAUUGCUAUGUUGAUCCAACCACUAUUAGUUAUAAUGUUCCAUUUAAACAUGGUGCGGAAAUUGAAUUAAGUUGAGAUUCAUCACUAGAGUCAAUUUGUUCUUCUUUGUUGGAUUGCAAAGACCGGCCAAACUCAACUUGUAAUACUACUACUGAUUAAAAGCCAAAUAUGAAAUGCACGGUAUACAUACAUGCAUUUUAUACUUUGACUUUUAAUAUUUCUUUUAUUUAAAUAUAAAUUCGUAACAAAAAAGCAUUCGUAGAAUGUUCUGCAAGCUUUCUACACACAAGAGUUUAAGAAAAAAGUGUGCGACCAUGCGAUCUUGGUUAUGACACCGAAGGUUUUUAAAAAUAUAUGCAACUAUAAUACAAUGUGAUUACAAUUGACGUUGUAUCAGCGACUGCAACCACAAUUUAAACAUUUUCACA